UACGAAGGGGGCUAGCGUUGCUCGGAAUUACUGGGCGUAAAGCGCACGUAGGCGGCUUGUUAAGUCGGGGGUGAAAUCCUGGAGCUCAACUCCAGAACUGCCUUCGAUACUGGCGAGCUCGAGUUCGGGAGAGGUGAGUGGAACUGCGAGUGUAGAGGUGAAAUUCGUAGAUAUUCGCAAGAACACCAGUGGCGAAGGCGGCUCACUGGCCCGAGUACUGACGCUGAGGUGCGAAAGCGUGGGGAGCAAACAGG
rnacentral:rRNA from 1 species